GGUUCCUGCUGCCUUGGGGUGGCUGUGGGGCAGCUGAUGUUGCAGCACAGCCGCUCAGUGCUGGCAGUGGGAUCUCACUGCGUGCUAUCUUGCAGCCCAGCCAAGUGAGUCAUCAUUUGACUCAGACCAAGCGGCCGCUCCAUGCAUGUGGAAGCCCCAGCCAUCGAACCACCUCCAGUGGCUGCUAAGAGAGAGCUGCGUUUGCCACAUCCACGUUUAGGAAGAGGGUGGCUCUGUGUGCAUGCAGUGCUGCCCCACUGACUGCAGCACCUCCGCGUGGGGCAGAACCAGCUGCAGAACCAGCACUAUGAUCUGGUUGUGUGCCCAGUGCUGGUGCUGUCUGCUGCCUUCCACGUGUGUCACGGAUUCAUCAGAGUGGGUGAACGUGAGGAGGAAGCACCAAUUUGAAACAUAUGUCGGGAGCAAAUUCCUUCACUUUUGUAUUUAUAUUGUCGAGGAGGAGGAAUCUGCACGUUUGGUACCCGGAGGAGCUUUGUUUCCCAGUUUGCAGCUCUGUGACGCCGGUUGGGAGAAGCAGCUGCGGUUUGGUCAGUGCUGGAAGCAAACAAACACAAACAAAGGAGGCUCAGGCCGCAUCUGGGCCGUGCCCUGGUGGUGCUGCUGGAAGGGAUGCAAUUGUGAGGGGUAUGGAGUACAUCUUGACCUCAUGCUCCCCACUUAUAUAGGGGUGCGUUCCUCAGGCCUGCUGCAUGGGCAUCCCAUGCGUGCAGAGGUUUGCAUUGCUCAUCUGGGGGCUGCUCACCCCAUAGAGCAAAGAAAGACCCUCUCCUUGCACCGAUCCCAAUCCCCUUUUGUUUGUGGCGUGGUUUGGAAGCAGCCACGUGUCAGCUUGCAGGGAGUUCGUCAGCUGCCGGUGCCUCGUGUCUGAGAUGGGGUCAGUGCUGCACGUUGCUUUUAUUCCUUUCUUUUUCUUUAUUCUAGGAUGCAGCAGGGGCUGAGACGGAGCGUCUCGGUUUGUUAGAUGCAUCUGUGCUGUGGGUAGCUGUAGGAAGUGGAGCAGAAAACAAGCCGGGCUGCCCGUCCCUCAUCACUGCGUCACCUUCCUGCUGAUGGCCCAGAUAAGCGCUCAUGCUGCUCGUGGGGUUACAGGGGGGUUACCCUGCCCCAACAUGGGCAGCUCUGAGCUCAGCACCCAGCACGGAAAGACCUCUGAGAUCAUGAGGUUAUGCCGAGUUGGAAGGGAUUCAUAAGGAUCAUUGAGUCCCCACUGUGCCAUGACCAAGUCCCCUGGUGCCAUAUCACCAUAGUCCUCGGUCCCCUUAAUGGGUGGGGGCUCCCCCACUGCUCUGGGGCAGCCUCUGUCAGUGCCUGACUGCUCUUAUAGGGAAGAAAUUGUUCUUCCUAUUCAAUCUUUGAAGGGUGGGAGAAGAUUUCUGGCAUUCUUAAGGUCCUGACCUAACGCUACUUGGUUUGAUUACGCGCAGCCCAAACGUCUGAUGAUUGAAGAACAGAGAUGAGCGUCUGUUAGUUGAAACCAUGGGAAGUAAACCGCGUGCAGGACCUGGUCAGGGCUUUGGCUCUGUCAUCACCCACGGCUCCAUCUGUCACCACGGAGGGACGGGCAGCACAGUCCCAGCUGCGGGCAGCGGGCUGACACUCACCCACAGACACAGCAUCUCUGUUUGGAGCCGAGCAGGAGCACAAUCGUUGGCUUCAGCUCGUCCCGGAGCUGCAGCAGAAGGGGGAUCAGCGAGGGCUUGUGUCAUCAGUCGGAUUUAGAAGCACACGGAGCUAUGCGUGGGGUGGCAGCGCUGCAUUUGGUGAUGCUGGACUUUGUCAGGCUGCCUCAUGGGGUUCCUGCAUGGAGCCAGGUGAUAAGGAAGGGGAGAUAAGGUGCUGGGUGAGGGCAGUGUGAACUUAGAGCUGUGUAGGAAGGAGGUCAGGCAGCAGCGCGGCGCACUGAGGAUGGGCUGCUCCACUUUGCUUCCAGACACACAGAGCGAGCCAACGUGGGAAGGGAAAUGCUGUUUGAUGUGGGAAUUAACCAGGGGUUGGCCAUGGGACAGGACACCCCCAGGUGUGGGUCAGCAGUGCAGCUCAAGGAGACAGGGCCUGCUUUGCUGCAUAGAGCAUUGCCCAUCAGUAAUGCAGAGCCUUUCACAGGAGCCCGGUGACAUGGAGGCCGUGUGGGUGCUUUGUACACGUUGUAGGUUAGUUCUGGCCUCAGCGGGACAGUUCUGGUCGUUCCAUCUGUGUGAGAUGUCAAAUGGGAUGAGCAAAACUUGGCCUCGGAUCACGGAUUAGUGAGCAGCACGGGUGCGAUAACAGAGUCUGACCCAGGCUCUGUGCAUGUAGCAGCCUCGAUGUUUUUACCCCUAAAAGGCUCCGAGUGAUUCCACAUCCUUCAUGCAACUGCGUAGCUAUGAAGACAGGGCCUGGAACAUCUUGACUUUGAACUCCUUGACUUCACAGUGGCAGAGCCAGAGCUGCUCGGAGAGGUGGGGGUGCUUCCUUCUAUGCAUAGAUCCAAACCUGCCUGGAUGCUCUGUGUGCAGGGAACUGCAGGGGGGGGUUUGCACUGGGGGAGCUGCACGGAUCCCUUCCAGCCCCCACAGCUCUGGGAUUCUUUUACCUUUGGCAGUGGGGAUUUCUGCUUUGGGGAUUCACUCUUUAUGUUCUUCCCCUCUUGUCUUCAGGCUCACCAAGUUCCUCCGUGUUCAUGCUUUUUAUUCUCCUUGCUGUUGGAUUCUCAGCCAUUGGAAGGUUUCUUUGCUCAUUUCACAUGGUCAUCUGUGUCCUCACAGUUUCACCUUCAUCUCUUACAUCCCCAUGUUUGUUCUCCAAGCGCUGCAGACUGAGGUCACUCAGCACAUACAGAAGAAGGAAGCUGAUGCAUUUCUUUUGCCCCGGGGUUUCUGUUGGCCUCUUACUUCAUACAACUGCCUUCCCAUAAUGUUAAACCUCAGGGAAACUUCUCGCACUGAAGAUGUCAGCGUGAAUACGUUGGAUGGUUUUGGAACCACCCAUGUGCAUACUUGAGGUUUGCCUUGUGCUUUACGUCAGAACGAGCUGUUCCAUUGAAGGGCUCAGGCUGUGGUUGUGGCUGUAUAUGACAGAGUCCAGACUCAGGGAAUUCCUUGGGAUGGAAAGGUCCAUAGAGGUCAUGGAACCAUAGAAUAGUUGGGUUGGAAUGGCCCCUUCAGCCCCACUAUAGGCUGGGAGCCCCACAGCUCAGUGAGCUUAUGGUGCUUGGAGCAGUGGGAUGAGCACAGCGCUGGGGUUAUCGGGGCUGCAUGCACAGCUUUGGGAUUUGCAAAGCUUCCAGAUGGAGUGACUGCUGGGAGCCCAUGUAAAUCCUGGGAUUUGUCGUUGUUUUCUUGGUGCUGUGCUCAGCAGCCCCUUACCAAGCGCCCAGUGCCAGCAUGCCAUAUAUCCCAGGGUAGGAGCUGACCUCCUGGGGGUGUAGGGCCGUUGUUCUGCCCCUGCUAUGGUUGUAGCCUCCCUGAACUGCCAAAUAACCUCAUAGGGGGUCUCCAGAAUGGCUCUUCACAGCCCCAGCUGCUCAGGAUGGGGCCUGGUUAUGCAGCCCCUUAAUUAUAAGGCUGUACUCCCAGUGGGGGGUGUCACAUGCUGGGAUCAUAUGGAGGUGGGCUCAGGAGCCUCUCCUGGUCCAGCUCAGGGUGUGCUCCAAAGCUCUGUGCCUUUGGGCUUCAGGGAGGACAGAGGGUUCAGCAUGGUCCCCCCAUUGCCAUGGCUGUGCUCGUGGUUCUCUGUUUGCUCAGGAACAGAGCAGGUUUCAGUCUGAGCAUCUGACACUGCUGUGGCUUCCUGUGGGUUGUACCCAUGUCCCACAGCAGCUUCUCCUGCUCCAGCAUAGAGCUUUCACAAGCAAAAGGGAUGAUGCUUCAGAACAGGAUCCACUUAGCAUCUCUCCUGUGAGGAGGCAACUAGUGAGCUGAGCUGUUGUACUUAAGGAAACUCAAACAAGCUGGGGGUGGUGGCACUGAAUUCAUCUAAUGUGGGGUGCUACAGAGCCCCAGAGCUCAUGGGUGCACUGCACCUGCAUGCUCCUCUCUGCUGCACUGGCCGGGCUCUUUGCAUCGCUAACCAACAUCACGUUCCUGGUAUUGUUUGCUAUUGUCAGCCUUCAAUAAAAAGCAUGUGGGUAGAA